rnacentral:rRNA from 1 species
UACGGAGGGUGCAAGCGUUAUCCGGAUUCACUGGGUUUAAAGGGUGCGUAGGCGGUCGGGUAAGUCUGAUGUGAAAUCUCACAGCUUAACUGUGAAACUGCAUUGGAUACUAUUCGGCUUGAGGUUUGGAGGGGGGACUGGAAUUCUCGGUGUAGCAGUGAAAUGCGUAGAUAUCGAGAGGAACACCAGUGGCGAAGGCGAGUCCCUGGACAAAUCCUGACGCUGAGGCACGAAAGCUAGGGGAGCAAACAGG